UACGGGGGGGGCAAGCGUUGUUCGGAAUUACUGGGCGUAAAGGGCUCGUAGGUGGCCAACUAAGUCGGACGUGAAAUCCCUCAGCUUAACUGGGGAACUGCGUCCGAUACUGGAUGGCUUGAGUUUGGGAGAGGGAUGCGGAAUUCCAGGUGUAGUGGUGAAAUGCGUAGAGAUCGGCAGGAACACCCAGGGGGAAACCAGCCGACUGGGCAAGUGCUGACGCUGAGGUGCGAGAGCGUGGGGAGCGAACCGG
rnacentral:rRNA from 1 species